rnacentral:misc_RNA from 1 species
GUUAACCUCACGUUUCAGGAAGAUACAAACGAGGAAGAGAAAUUCCCUUAAGAGAUUCCAUUCAGGAAGACAGGAAAUUAUGUCUGUCGAAAUUAAUCGUCAGCGCGUUAACACGUAGUCGAGAAGGAUAAGGCGCGCGAAACGCAGGAGUGCGAGGUGAAAAGCGUCGAAGAAGGACGAAGCAAAGUGAAACACAGGAGGCAGAAGGAUACGCUUAGCAUUUUACAGACGAAACGUGCUCGCCAGACCGACGAUCGACAAGCAAAAAGCGAAGAGGAGGUCGCGGGUGCGAGUGUUAAGGAUCGUAUCGGGGCCAACGACGAAAAAGGGGAGUUGAAUGCUCGCUUUCGUCGCGUCACGGCGCCAUUCGACGUCGCCAUGCUGUGUAUGUAUGCAAUCGUCGUCGUCGCUCGUGAAGACAAUUUAUUCUCACGGUUUCGCGCGCAAUUUGCCACGGGCACGUGUAACGAGGAUAACGAGAAUCAUCGAAUGAAAAGCCAACGUCGUGGCUGCAAAUUGCGUUUCACGCGACAUUUGCUAUAACGCCUGCCGCGAAUAUUUCUAGCGGGCCCGCGGCCCUCGUGGCAUCGCUCCCGACCGUUCGAUCUUCUUCGACACCGAGGCAAUCGACUAUUCGGUAAGAGAUAUUCGAUACGCUGUUUAACUCGUCGCCUUCGCGAUCCUGUUGCUUCUCUUACGCGUCAACUUCGUUUCUCAUAUUAUCGCGAAUUAUUUGAAGAAUCGUUUCGAAGAAUCGCUAAAUGUUCAUGUUUAAAUCGUUUAAACGUUAGUCGGGGAAUCGCACGUAUUAGAUAUUGCGUUAGAUUUUUACGACACGACAUAAAUAGUAACUCGUAAAAUCUUUAAUCUGUUUGAAUAACGCAAUUAAAUUUGUAAUUAGCUUUUAAUUAAAUUUUUUUAAUCGAUCAUCAUCAUUUGCGCUGUACUGUAGAGGAACAAUUAGCUCGAACAUUCCCAACAGCAGAAGGUUAUUUUACUCGGUAUUCUUAGCAAAGUAAAGCGCGGUUGGUUAAAAAAAGGGAACGAGGGAACGAUUAAUGCUCGCGCCAAGUUUUUAUUGCGGGAAUUCAAUUUCCAAAAUAAACAUUUGCAAAGAGAACAACUGUUGACAAGUCCAUUCUCGUGCGAAUUUCAACAUUUACGGUGAAUGUCCCUCGACAUUUUGCCUCAUAUAUUUCCACGUCCACCGUUUUCAUCGGUAACGAUCGAUACCGGCUAUUUUUCCUGCUAUUCCAGUCAACUGCACUACACAACGUGUGAAAAAUGAAUUAAAGCUCCG